rnacentral:lncRNA from 1 species
ACACGACUUCCUGGCCGGCCUAACAGAGUUAGUACCUUUUCUAUUCUUUAAUUCUCCUUACUGAUACGAUCCCUUAAUUGUGCAUUUGAAUCACGUUUGGUCAUAAAACUACCAUGGAGGAGUACUCAUGUACGCUGUCGAUGCCCAUCCAGUCCAAGGUCCCAUCGCCCAUCUCCUUGGAUUAACCGGCACGACUGUGGCCAAAGGAUACCUGAUCUCUACUUUUCUCCAUGCGAAGAACUGGAACUGUUUUUUUCCUCCAUGUCCGGCC